CCUACGGGAGGCAGCAGUGGGGAAUAUUGCACAAUGGGGGAAACCCUGAUGCAGCGACGCCGCGUGAGUGAAGACGUACUUCGGGAUGUAAAGCUCUAUCAGCAGGGAAGAAAAUGACGGUACCUGAGUAAGAAGCUCCGGCUAACUACGUGCCAGCAGCCGCGGUAAUACGUAGGGGGCAAGCGUUAUCCGGAUGUACUGGGUGUAAAGGGAGCGUAGACGGUGAUGCAAGUCAGUAGUGAAAGCUCGCGGCUCAACUCUGGGAUUGCUUUUGAAACUGUGUGACUGGAGUUCAGGCGAGGUAAGCGGAAUUCGUGGUGUAGCGGUGAAAUGCGUAGAUAUCAGGAGGAACACCAGUGGCGAAGGCAGCUUACUGAACUGUAACUGACGUUGAGGCUCGAAAGCGUGGGGAGCAAACAGGAUUAGAUACCCGUGUAGUC
rnacentral:rRNA from 1 species